GGCAAUUACAAUUACACAGUAAAAUACCUAAGGUUAAUGAAUAACCUCUAAAGGAAGUUACUUCACAUAAUGACAGCAAUUUCUCUGAACUAAAUGUUAAUAAUAAGGCCUGUAGUACUAUGAGAAGGAAAUGGUGGCAACUGGCAAAUGGAACCGUGUGUUGCUUGGUAACAAAACCUGAGAUAUUUUCCAAAAAGAAGCUGGGAGAAAGAGCUCCCUUUCCUUUGGCAUUGCUAAGCCUACCCCCAGGACUGCCCCAUAACUCUGGAGCUGUUCAUGGCCAUCUCCAUUCAAAAUGGCACCCAAGGCCAGGCAUGGUGGCAUACACCAAUAAUCCCAGCACUCUGGAGGCUGAGGCAGGAGGAUCACCAUGAGUUUGAGGCCAGCCUGGGCUACAUAGUGAGACUGUCUCAAACCCCUCCCCCUGAAAAUGCCAUCUGAAGUAACAGACGUAAGUGAUGACAACAGAAAAAGCCGGGCUUAAGGAAGAGAAAUGGACAAACAGUCCUGAAACUCCCAACCCUGGAGCCAAGUGACUCUGAGGCCCACCUCAUCUGUUCCUUCCUUACUACAGGGGCCACCAAUGUUAACUUUUCAUCCCUGUGACAACAUAUCUGGCAUAAGCAACUUAGAGAAGAUUUCUUUGGCCUCACCAUUUCAGGGGAUUCUGUCCACGGUUGGCCAGCUCCUUUGCUCUAUGCCUUGUGUCAAUGCAGAAACAUGAUGGCAGAAGAAUGUGGCAGAGGAAUGCUACUCACUUCAAGGCAGCUGGGAAGCAGAGAGAAAGAGCCCAAGAGGAGGGGGCUGGGGCCCAGAUAGAGUCCCCAAGGCCACGCCCCCACCAUCUACUCCCUUCAACUAGGCCCCAAGUCUUGUUUCCAUUACAUACCAACAAUGCCAUCAAAAUCAUGAUCUCAUUAAUGGAUUAAUCCACUUGAUGAAGUUAGAGCUAAUUUUAUAAAUAUAUAACAAAAGACAACAAAAUUUAAUGGUGACUGCUGGGUAUUAGAAUUUUACAUGCUUUUUAAAAAUUAUUUUCUGUAUUUUAUAAUUUUUGCUUUUAUAAUGGGAGAAAUGACACUAAAAAUCAAGCCUUUGAUUCAGUCUUCUUAUAGGCUUAUGUACAAAUUAAAACAUAAUCACUCUCCCAUCCAUUUUGAAUUUUACCUUUCACCUUUCUUUCUAAAUCAGUUUCCACAGUAAACACAGUGACAUAUCAUUCCUUUUUCAAAUAUUGCAACUGGAAAAUAUGACAUUUUGAAGGACAGAACAUAACCAGUACCUCCAUCCAACAUAUUAUUUGGCUUUUUGGUUAGUGUAGCAAUACACAAAAGAAAAAUUUUGAUCCAAAUGAAGUCAGUCAUUAUUUCUGUCCAUAGUAACACAUCUAACACAUAUAAAAUAAAAAAUAUAUUUAAAUUUUUUCUCUUUCAUAACUACUUCAAAAAGCCUCAAGUCUGUUUUGUAUCUCCUUACAAACAUCAUUGUGUAGAGAUGGGGUUCAUUUUAACACCAAAGGCUACAGCUUUACACCAAUAACCUGACUCUAUUACUGAAUUCCCGAUGAAAUGCACGAAUAGCUUUGUUUCUUUAUUGACUUUUUUUUCUCAUGAAAAUGAUUCUAAAACUUUUGGAAGGGGUUUCUAAAAUAAAUGUCAUGUGAAAAGUGAGCCUUUGAUUAGACUUCAGACCACAGAAGAAUCCCGUAGACUUUUUUCUAAUAUAAUUUAACUCCAUUCAAAAACUUAAUAGCUGGAGUAUGGUUUAAUAGGUAGAUUUAGAGGCUUCUGUGCCUCCAGUAAUCCUCCUUUCAUCAAAACAAUGGCUAUAAUUAAUAUUUAUGAUUUUGCUUUUCACCUCAAAGAACUUUACAAAUUGUUACCACAGGACUCAUGACACUAAUGAAGUACUCACUGCUCAGCCCAGAAGAGAAAUUUACAAUCAUCUUGAGUUUACCCCAUAAUGAUGUGGCUACAAAGAAGGGUUGGUGGGGUGGUGAUGUGGCCAACUCAGCUCCCCAUUACCAAAAGAACAAAUCAGGAAAGGGAAAUAAGUCCAUUUAUACGGCUUCCUCAAAGCCUAUAUGGUAGGAUCACAUACAGUAUUUGGUUUUUGUUUAUUUGUUUGUUUUGGUGUAGGACCCCCUUAGUAUCUCCCACUAUGAUGUACUACAGCGGUGGACAAAUUAUAGCCCAAGGGCCUCUGGCCUCAACCUGAUUCUAUAUACUCUCCCUCCUCCUUCAUCUCCCACCACCUCAGAAACAGUGAAUGACUUUUACAUUUUAGAGGGUUGUUUAGAAUAAAAAAGAAGAAUAUGUGUUAGAGACUGUAUUUGGCCUGCGAAGCUCAAAGUAUUUAUUAUUCAGUUCUUUCCAGAAUAAAUUUACUUUUCCUUAGAAUCUAAGGCAAUGAGAGACUGUAGAGAGUUUGCAAUGCAAAUUAUAAACACUAAGAUUCAUGAGUAUCAUUCAGAAACUUGGGCAGACUGUAAAGAGAAGCACAUUUCAGGUAUCAGUGAACUUUCUCAGAGUCAGCACAUUGUUCUGGUCUGACAGGAUAUAGACUUAACAAAGACCAAGUUCAUGUACCAACAUGCAUAUAGGAAACGCUCUACACGCCCUGGAUAUCCACCAGCAACUAGAGCUAACAUCCAUUAUGCUUGUUGCAUGGAGGCACCACUCAAUAACAGUGCUGAAAGGGAGG
ensembl:lncRNA